AAUCAACGCUGGCGGCGUGCCUCAGACAUGCAAGUCGAACGCGAAAGUUUCCUUCGGGAAGCGAGUAGAGUGGCGUCCGGGUGAGUAACACGUAGGUAAUCUACCUUUGGGUGGGGAAUAACAACCGGAAACGGUUGCUAAUACCGCAUAAUGCAGCGGCACCACAUGGUGACAGUUGUUAAAGCGGGGGAUCGCAAGACCUCGCGCCUAAAGAGGAGCCUGCGGCGGAUUAGCUAGNGGUAAGGUAACGGCUUACCAAGGCAACGAUCCGUAGCCGGCCUGAGAGGGCGGUCGGCCACACUGGGACUGAGACACGGCCCAGACUCCUACGGGAGGCAGCAGUGGGGAAUUUUUGUCAAUGGGGGAACCCUGAACAAGCAACGCCGCGUGGAGGACGAAGACCUUCGGGUUG
rnacentral:rRNA from 1 species